CUAGUCCAACAUAAUCAUAACUAAUUCUCCGUGCCAAAAAAACCUCGGCAAGGUCUUCGCUUUGGACAUGAUAACUAAAUUUUGAGGAAGCUUCUACACCAAACUCGAAGAAAUCGUUAGAGAGUAUUUUCAGCAUGGACAACAAUAAUUGGAGAUCUAUUCAAGGUGGUGAACCCAUGAUAGACAAUACUGAUUGGAGAACUAAGCUGCAACAUGAUUCGAGACAACGAAUUGUCAA